rnacentral:rRNA from 1 species
AUUGAACGCUGGCGGCAGGCCUAACACAUGCAAGUCGAACGAGUGGCGGACGGGUGAGUACUGUCUGGGAAACUGCCUGCUGGAGGGGGAUAACUACUGGAAACGGUAGCUAAUACCGCAUACCAUCAGAUGUGCCCAGAUGGGAUUAGCUAGUUGGUGGGGUAACGGCUCACCAAGGCGACGCUCCCUAGCUGGUCUGAGAGGAUGACCGGCAAAACUGGAACGGAGACACGGUCCAGAGUCCUACGGGAGGAAGAAGUGGGGAAUAUCGGAAAAGGGGCGCAAGCCUGAUGCAGCCAUGCCGCGGGUAUGAAGAAGGCCUUCGGGUUGUAAAGUACGUUCAGCGGGGAGGCGGUACCCGCAGAAGAAGAACCGGCUAACUCCGUGCCAGCAGCCGCGGUAAUAC